UUUCCCGCUCUGCCGCAUCAGAGCUCAUCGCCAGUGGCGGAGGAGAUCUAACCACCAAAAUAAACAACUUAAAAUAUUCCUCUCCCUCUCCUGAGUAUGAAAAACAAACUCAAUUAACCUAGUUUCUACACAGGAUGAUGAAUCGAAGGCAUGCGUGGAUGAACCCUAGAAACAGGAACAGAAAUUAAAUGACAUAGAGAGGGAAUCAAAGCCCCAAACUUGAGGGAUUUGAUUCACUGAUAGCUACACAACACAGUGGUAACUCACACAUAGGUAACUAAGGAGUUUGGGUUCUACCUUCGUCGGAAAAGAUGACCAGAAAAGCAAUGGAAUAGGUCAGGGCAUGGUUUGCUACAAGGUUGUUUUGCAGGGUGAGUGUAUGCUAUGUUGUUGUUUGCAAUUUGUGCACUGUAGGUUGUUGUGUACAGCAGAUCAUGUGAAAUGCCAUAUUGUUUCUCACUUGUUGCAGGUCUGGUUUUUGUUAGGUCUUGAUGGUUUGGCAAUGUCUUGGUUUGUGCAUUUGUAUUGUAGGAUCCUUGGAUGUACAUUGGUGCUUAUGGUGGAUAUGCAUCAUGGUCUUGACUUGGCCCAUUUGAAGGUUUGGCAAUGUUUGUAUAGGUUGGUGGAAUGUUAAUGUUUUUGGUCAUGUUAUGUAUUAAGAUUGACUGAAAUGAUAUGUUGUUAUAUUGAUGCAGGCAUAUGGUGAACUUGUUAUGCUUGGCAUGAUGAAUGGAAAUGUGCUAGGCAUAGUCAUGUUGCAUAAUGGUUGGUUUGGUACGUGAGAUUUGAAUUGUUGGCUUGAAAUGCUUAUGAUGAUGGAUGCACACAUGACCUAUGGUUGGACAAGGCUUGAAAAGUGACUCGUUCAUAGAAACACAAAACUUUAAUGGAUUAUGGAACAAUAGAACAAGAGAUUAGGGUUUAGGAUGGUAAAAGGGGUGAGUUGACUUUGGUCAACUAGUUAACCAAAAAGUCAAAUGUUGUAAUUUUUGGUCAAACUUGUAAUUUUAAAUACAUGUAUGGACUUUUGUAAUGAA